CCUACGGGAGGCUGCAGUGGGGAAUAUUGGGCAAUGGAGGAAACUCUGACCCAGCAACGCCGCGUGAAUGAUGAAGGUCUUCGGAUUGUAAAGUUCUUUUCUAAGGGAAGAAGAAAGUGACGGUACCUUAGGAAUAAGCCUCGGCUAACUACGUGCCAGCAGCCGCUGUAAUACGUAGGAGGCGAACGUUAUCCGGAAUGACUGGGCGUAAAGGGUGCGUAGGUGGUUUGGCAAGUUAGUAGCUUAACUCCAGGGCUCAACCUUGGAACUACUACUAAAACUGUUGGACUUGAGUGCAGGAGAGGCAACCGGAAUGCCUAGUGUAGCGGUGGAAUGCGUAGAUAUUAGGAGGAACACCAGUGGCGAAGGCGGGUUGCUAGCCUGUAACUGACACUGAGGCACGAAAGCGUGGGGAGCAAACAGGAUUAGAUACCCUGGUAGUC
rnacentral:rRNA from 1 species